CAGUCGCCGCGGGAAUACGUAGGUGGCAAGCGUUGUCCGGAAUUAUUGGGCGUAAAGCGCGCGCAGGUGGUUUAAUAAGUCUGAUGUGAAAGCCCACGGCUCAACCGUGGAGGGUCAUUGGAAACUGUUAGACUUGAGUGCAGGAGAGAAAAGUGGAAUUCCUAGUGUAGCGGUGAAAUGCGUAGAGAUUAGGAGGAACACCAGUGGCGAAGGCGGCUUUUUGGCCUGUAACUGGCACUGAGGCGCGAAAGCGUGGGGAGCAAACAGGAUUAGAUACCCCGGUAGUCCCUGUCUCUUAUAC
rnacentral:rRNA from 1 species